UCCAGACUCCUACGGGAGGCAGCAGUGGGGGAUAUUGCACAAUGGGGGGAACCCUGAUGCAGCGACGCCGCGUGGGUGAAGGAGCGUUUCGGCGCGUAAAGCCCUAUCGGCAGGGAAGGAGGAGGACGGUACCUGACUAAGAAGCCCCGGCUAACUACGUGCCAGCAGCCGCGGUAAUACGUAGGGGGCAAGCGUUAUCCGGAUUUACUGGGUGUAAAGGGGGCGCAGACGGCAGCGCAAGCCAGGAGUGAAAGCCCGGGGCCCAACCCCGGGACUGCUCUUGGAACUGCGCGGCUGGAGUGCAGGAGGGGCAGGCGGAAUUCCUGGUGUAGCGGUGAAAUGCGUAGAUAUCAGGAGGAACACCGGUGGCGAAGGCGGCCUGCUGGACUGCGACUGACGUUGAGGCCCGAAAGCGUGGGGAGCAAACAGGAUUAGAUACCCUUGUA
rnacentral:rRNA from 1 species